AUUGAACGCUGGCGGCAGGCCUAACACAUGCAAGUCGAACGAGUGGCGGACGGGUGAGUAAUGUCUGGGAAACGGCCCGAUGGAGGGGGAUAACUACUGGAAACGGUAGCUAAUACCGCAUACCAUCGGAUGUGCCCAGAUGGGAUUAGCUAGUGGGUGGGGUAACGGCUCACCUAGGCGACGAUCCCUAGCUGGUCUGAGAGGAUGACCAGCCAUCCUGAAACGGAAACACGGUCCAGACUCCUCCGGCAGGAAGCAGCGGGGACUAUUGCACAAUGGGCGCAAGCCUGCUGCAGCCAUGCGGCGUGUCUGAUGAAGGCCUUCGGGUUGUAAAGUCCUUUCAGCGAGGAGGCGUUACUCGCAGAAGAAGCACCGGCUAACUCCGUGCCAGCAGCCGCGGUAAUAC
rnacentral:rRNA from 1 species